AGCCAAGCCUUUCAAGUGCAAGGUUUGCGACCGCUGUUUCGCCCGCUCUGACCAUCUUGCUCUUCACAUGAAACGUCACGAGCCCAAAUCCAAGUGAACACUCUUCUCUCUCCAUCCACCCGGAGAACGAUUUUGGUGAUGACCCAUCUUUGCUUUUUUGGAGCCACUUUGGGUGCGCAUUUUGAUCGACACUGCCUUUGAGUUUACUUCUGGACUUUGCCAUUUAACUUUUUUUUCUAUGGCAGCCAGAGAGUUGUUGGAAUGAGACUGGUCCUUUUUAGACACGCCAGAUGUCUAGAGUUGUGUUGUCAGGACAUUGUUCUGAGCGACAGAAGGCUAAUUGUAGAUGGCAUAUAGACUUGUAAAGAGGCAGCUACUCGAUUAUUAGGGGCGAACUGGUGCAGACGGAGACACAUUUGCCGUGGAAAGACUUUAAACAUAAAAGUUGUUGUUAUCAAUGUUAUUUUUGUUAACAUAAUGAAGUUAUAAUUCUGUUAU
rnacentral:misc_RNA from 1 species